rnacentral:rRNA from 1 species
GACAGAGGGGGCAAGCGUUGUUCGGAAUUACUGGGCGUAAAGGGCGCGUAGGCGGCCUGUUAAGUCGAACGUGAAAUCCCCGGGCUCAACCCGGGAACUGCGUCCGAUACUGGCAGGCUUGAAUCCGGGAGAGGGAUGUGGAAUUCCAGGUGUAGCGGUGAAAUGCGUAGAUAUCUGGAGGAACACCGGUGGCGAAGGCGGCAUCCUGGACCGGUAUUGACGCUGAGGCGCGAAAGCCAGGGGAGCAAACGGG